rnacentral:pre_miRNA from 1 species
AGUGGGAAAGCUGGGUCAAAUGGUGGUUCCAUCCCCAGUUUCCAAGGAUUCUGUAUACUGCUUUCCAUAUUGGCUGUACCAAUUUGCAGUCCCACCAGCAGU